UACGGGGGGGGGGGCAAGCGUUUGUUUCGGGAAAUUACUGGGGCGUAAAAGGGCUCGUAGGCGGCCCAACUAAGUCAGACGUGAAAUCCCUCGGCUUAACCGGGGAACUGCGUCUGAUACUGGAUGGCUAGAGGUUGGGAGAGGGAUGCGGAAUUCCGGUGGUGAGCGGUGAAAUGCGUAGAUAUCUGGAGGAACACCGGUGGCGAAGGCGGCAUCCUGGACCAAUUCUGACGCUGAGGAGCGAAAGCCAGGGGAGCAAAGCGGG
rnacentral:rRNA from 1 species